rnacentral:rRNA from 1 species
UACGGAGGGUGCAAGCGUUAAUCGGAAUUACUGGGCGUAAAGCGCACGCAGGUGGCUGAGUCAGUCGAUUGUGAAAGCCCUGGGCUUAACCUGGGAAUUGCAGUCGAUACUACUCAGCUAGAGUAUGGGAGAGGGUAGUGGAAUUCCCGGUGUAGCGGUGAAAUGCGUAGAUAUCGGGAGGAACAUCAGUGGCGAAGGCGGCUACCUGGCCCAAUACUGACGCUGAGGAGCGAAAGCCAGGGGAGCAAACGGG